UACAGAGGGUGCAAGCGUUAAUCGGAAUCACUGGGCGUAAAGGGUGCGUAGGCGGAUUACUAAGUCAUGUGUAAAAGCCCUGGGCUUAACCUGGGAAGGAGACGUGAUACUAGUAGUCUAGAGUAGAGGAGAGGAGAGUGGAAUUUCCGGUGUAGCGGUGAAAUGCGUAGAUAUCGGAAGGAACACCAGUGGCGAAGGCGGCUCUCUGGCCUCAUACUGACGCUGAGGUACGAAAGCGUGGGUAGCGAACAGG
rnacentral:rRNA from 1 species